GGGGAUGUAGCUCAGUGGUAGAGCGCACUCUUCGCAUGUGUGAGGCCCCGGGUUCAAUCCCCGGCAUCUCCA
rfam:Ciona savignyi cont_34565, whole genome shotgun sequence.